rnacentral:rRNA from 1 species
CACGUAGGGGGCGAGCGUUGUCCGGAUUCAUUGGGCGUAAAGGGCGCGCAGGCGGCUCGGAAAGUCGGGUGUGAAAACUCGGGGCUCAACCCCGGGCGUGCAUCCGAUACUGCCGGGCUUGAGGCAGGUAGGGGAGAUCGGAAUUCCUGGUGUAGCGGUGAAAUGCGCAGAUAUCAGGAGGAACACCGGUGGCGAAGGCGGAUCUCUGGGCCGGCACUGACGCCUGAAUAGCGAAAGCGUGGGUAGCGAACAGG